CAGGUGGUGGGGCGAGAGGACUGGAGCAGAGCAGAAACCUCUUCCGCUGUAGCGGAUGCAAAUGAACAUAGAACAACAGAGGGAGUGAGGUUAGGGGAAGAAAAAAGAUGAGAGAUCUCUUCCCUGAUUGUAGAGAUUGUCAGUGAAGUGAGUUGAAACGUCUGAGGCGAUCAAGUUAGUAGAUGGAGGAGGAACAAUAGGGCGAAG